rnacentral:rRNA from 1 species
AUGGACGUCGCCGACGCCGCCUCCUCAUCUGGCCAGGAGCAGCAGGGGCACAGGACGGUGUCGUCUGAGCCGCCGAAGCGCCCCGCGGGGCGGACCAAGGUGCAUGAGACGCGCCACCCGCUGUACCGCGGCGUGCGGCAGCGGGGCCGGGUCGGGCAGUGGGUGUGCGAGGUGCGCGUGCCCGGGGUGAAGGGCUCCAGGCUCUGGCUCGGCACCUUCGCCACCGCCGAGAUGGCGGCGCGCGCGCACGACGCAGCCGUGCUCGCGCUCUCCGGCCGCGCCGCCUGCCUCAACUUCGCCGACUCCGCGUGGCGCAUGCUGCCCGUGCUCGCGGCCGGGUCGUUCGGCUUCGGCAGCGCGCGCGAGAUCAAGGCGGCCGUCGCCGUCGCCGUCGUGGCUUUCCAGAAGGAGCAGAUUAUCCCAGUCGCCGUCGCCGUCGUGGCGCUACAGAAGCAGCAGAUUAUCCCAGUCGCCGUCGCCGUCGUAGCGCUCCAGAAGCAGCAGAUUCCAGUCGCCGUCGCCCUGGUGGCGCUCCAGGAACAGCAGGUCCCAGUGGCUGUCGCCGUCGUGGCGCUCCAUCGGCAGCAGGUUCCAGUCGCGUGCCCGGCAACCUCCGGCCCGGGCAGCGCUCUGUUUUACAUGUCGUCCAGCGACUUGUUGGAGCUGGACGAGGAGCAGUGGUUUGGCGGCAUGGAGGCCGGGUCGUACUACGCGAGCUUGGCGCAGGGGAUGCUCGUGGCACCGCCGGACGAAAGAGCGAGGCCGGAGGACGGCGAGCAGAGCGGCGUCCAGACGCCGUUAUGGAGCCAGAGCCACCUGUUCAACUAA